CACCCAGUCAUUCCUAGAAAUCUCCUUAGUUGCUUUUGAGUCUUCGGUAUCGGAAAUUCAUCCACGGCUCGCACUUUCUCUGAAUUAACUUGAAGCGUCCCCUCACCCACAAGAUACCCAAGGUAGUCCACCCGUUUCAGACAGAACUGACUCUUCUGCAUGUUUAUUGUCAGUCCGGCCUUGUGUAAUUGAAAAGCAACUUCCGAUAAAUG
rnacentral:lncRNA from 1 species